GGAGGCAUGGCUCAAAUAGUUGAUCACUAGCCUAGUGAGCUUGAGGCCUUGGGUUCAAGCCCCAGAGCUUCCC
rnacentral:tRNA from 1 species